rnacentral:lncRNA from 1 species
AAGAAAAGUGCGAGUGGAAAACAAACACCAAUUAAUUGAAGAAGGCACGCGAGUAACCAAACCCUGUGUAAAAAUUCAAGUGCCCUCUUUACCUUCUGCUUUCUAAUCUUUACCUCUACAAAUCAAACUUGCACAAUAUGCAAGCCCAACAACAACUCCACUAUGAAAUGUCUGAAAGAAAACUGACAGAUGUUUGAACGCAUGAUUUUGUGCAUCAGCAGUAAAAUCUGCAAC